GUUGACUGCCAAGGAAACAAUACCUCUCAUAGGAGUAUGCAUGGGAAAGGUUGCUGCUCUCACAGUAGAAGGGAGGAGGAUUUGAUGACAGGUAGUACUUACAAGCCAUUCUUUGUCAUCAGCAUGUAGGGAAAGUCCCGGGGUAACAAACCAAGGCAUAUAGACUUCAAAUGGAGCUUCAUUUCCUUACCAUAUGAUGCUCAAUUUCAGACAAAUGAAAGAGGACCACCCUGUCUUCCUGCCUCCCGGAUCAGGCUCUGCUCUCUUGUCCACUACCACAGGCUCAGUGUUACCCACAGCAGUUCUUCCCUCUUUGUGAAGAUGUGCUCUGCUAAAGGUGUUCAGUAGACAUUUACAUCAAGAACAGGAAUCUGGUGACCACAUAAGCAAGUGAUGAGAUAGAAUGUUCAAUGGUCAACUGUGCCAGCUUUCAUGAGAGAUCGGCAGCAGUACUUCAUCCCCGAAAGCAGUUGAUCAAAAAUGAAUGUACUGUCAAAAAAAGCUGACAAGAAUAAGGCAUGAUUGUGAAGUGAAGGAUAUUCUUCUCUGGGCAAACAGGCUGAUACUGCCAAGGAUACAUUUGACAGCAGCAGUGUGGGAGCUCACACCCAGCAAGCAAGGAAAAUUACACAGGGUAAUGGGUGUGGCUUUUCUGCAUAGAGUUCAGUUGGCCAGUUGUAAAUGAAAUAGCUGCAACAGCCCAGUAUUCCUAUGAGUAAUCAAAUAUUGCUCAUCAAGGGCAGGUACACUGUGGCUCACAGUAUUAAACCCUAACUGUAG
ensembl:lncRNA